rnacentral:lncRNA from 1 species
AGCUGGAUUGUGGAGGACGGGGAUCGACAGACUGGGCCCGGACCCCAUGAUAAAUAUUUUCAAGGGUGGGAUCCGAGAGUCGAACCCAGGUCCUCCAGAGUGGAAAGCCAAAGUGUUUCCACGCAGCCAAUUUGGCCAACAGCCAUUUGGUUUUGAAUAUAUCUCUGAUGAUGUCAGAGAAAGAGAGAGAGCUUCUCAUUGGAUGUGCAGUUGCAACUAUUGCCACAAGAACAAAAUUUUUGUUGACGAGCGACAUCAUCAGCGACCAGUUCAGAGGGGGUUUACAAGUUAGGGAGAAGAGCUAGUUCCAGUCGCAACCUCAGCUAAAAAAAUCUCAAGGUGUGACCA